ACGAACGCUGGCGGCAUGCCUAACACAUGCAAGUCGAACGAGACCUUCGGGUCUAGUGGCGCACGGGUGCGUCACGCGUGAGAACCUGCCCUUAGGUUCGGAAUAACUCCCCGAAAGGGGUGCUAAUACCGGAUAAUGUCUUCGGACCAAAGAUUUAUCGCCUUUGGAUGGGCCCGCGUUGGAUUAGCUAGUUGGUAGGGUAAAAGCCUACCAAGGCGACGAUCCAUAGCUGGUCUGAGAGGAUGAUCAGCCACACUGGGACUGAGACACGGCCCAGACUCCUACGGGAGGCAGCAGUGGGGAAUAUUGGACAAUGGGCGAAAGCCUGAUCCAGCAAUGCCGCGUGAGUGAUGAAGGCCUUAGGGUUGUAAAGCUCUUUUACCCGGGAUGAUAAUGACAGUACCGGGAGAAUAAGCUCCGGCUAACUCCGUG
rnacentral:rRNA from 1 species